UUAAGUUCAGCGGGUAUCCCUACCUGAUCCGAGGUCAAGAGCAAAAAGUAGUCUUGAUGGAUGCCAACAAUCAUGACAAGAGGCGCAAAAUGUGCUGCGCUCCAGGCCAAUAUGCCGGCUGCCAAUUGCUUUAAGGCGAGUCCACGCGCAAGGCGGGACAAACACCCAACACCAAGCAGAGCUUGAGGGUACAAAUGACG
rnacentral:misc_RNA from 1 species